CGCUGGGGCCCUGGCUCACGCCCCAGCCUCCUGGCCGGAGCCAGUCCCAGAACCCCUCUUCCCUCCUCCCGCCCCAGGGGCGGGGGCAGCAGCUGCUGGGUCCUCGGAGGCGCUGGGAUCCGACAGCCCGGUACCUGGGAGCCAGGGCCUGCCCAGCGGCCUUCCUUCCUGGCCAACAGCUGCCUGCGUGCAGCCUCUCUCCCGAGGAUCUGGGUGGCCAUUCAUGACGGGCCUCCUCUUGGAAAGGCAAAGAAGGUGGCAUUAUAACUAGGGAUUGCUCGAUUGACCUGGCACCGCAUCCACCCUACACUUGUUCGCGGAGGAUUUGUGUCUCUCCUUAACCCGGAACAGCCUCACCUGAAUCCUCCACCAAUCUCCUUCUGAAACACCUAUGAGGGCUGCCAUAACAAAGGACCACAAACUGGG